rnacentral:rRNA from 1 species
GAUGAACGCUGGCGGCGUGCUUAACACAUGCAAGUCGAACGAUGAAGCCCAGCUUGCUGGGUGGAUUAGUGGCGAACGGGUGAGUAACACGUGAGUAACCUGCCCUUGACUCUGGGAUAAGCCUGGGAAACUGGGUCUAAUACUGGAUAUGACUUCUCAUCGCAUGGUGGGGGGUGGAAAGAUUUAUUGGUCUUGGAUGGACUCGCGGCCUAUCAGCUUGUUGGUGAGGUAAUGGCUCACCAAGGCGACGACGGGUAGCCGGCCUGGGAGGGUGACCGGCCACACUGGGACUGAGACACGGCCCGGACUCCUACGGGAGGCAGCAGUGGGGAAUAUUGCACAAUGGGCGCAAGCCUGAUGCAGCGACGCCGCGUGAGGGAUGACGGCCUUCGGGUUGUAAACCUCUUUCAGUAGGGAAGAAGCGAGAGUGACGGUACCUGCAGAAGAAGCGCCGGCUAACUACGU